ACCUGAUGCAUACUAUGGGUGUUAAUCGCACAGACGUCGUUUCCACACACUUGGUAGUACAACCUUGUUUGCAAAGCUUCUAUAGUCGACACAACUUCGAACAACAACAUGCAAGCGGCUAUGGAAAUAUCAGCAAAAUACUGUUAUAAAGAACUAGAGACAUAUGGGUCUUGCGUUGCCUCAAAUCCAGCGACAUGGCAGCAAAAGUGCCAUGACCUAAAGAUGAAGGUUUCGCAAUGUACAUCAUCACAUCCAGUGAUCCAGAAGAUCAGACAAGACUGUUCAGCAGAAUUCGGGAAGUUUGAGCAAUGCCUGAAAGAAAACCAGAACACACCUACCUCCUGUUCAGCACACAUAACCCGCUUUCUAGGAUGUGCAGACUCAGUUGACAUCAGCAGUGUGGCUUCAGAUUCAGGUUCUGAGUGAUCGUAGGAUUCACCCAUUUCCAUCGUCAGCCCUCUGGCUCCAGCAGCAUGCCCAAGCUGGAUUUGGAUAUGUCAACUGUGUGUCUCACUGUGACCUACUGUGACUGGUUUCAACUGUAAAGAGUAAAAAUCCUCCAGUACUAUAAAGUACAGCAUUUGAGUGAGCCCUUUAAUAAGGGUUUUCAUCUGAAAACCAUUUAUACUUGCCUUUGAAUAAAAAAGUCAGGUUCGCAA